rnacentral:rRNA from 1 species
GGGGAGCUCAACUGCCAGUUCGACGGGGGCGUGGCCGAUGGAAACUUUUCCGGAGCGGAAAUUGGCGCUGCCUAGUGGCGGACGGGUGAGUAACGCGUGAGCAACCUGCCCUGCACUGGGGGACAACAGCCGGAAACGGCUGCUAAUACCGCAUAGGCGCACAGCCCUGCAUGGGGCGGUGUGGAAAGUAAUACGGUGCAGGAUGGGCUCGCGUCUGAUUAGCUUGUUGGCGGGGCAACGGCCCACCAAGGCGACGAUCAGUAGCCGGCCUGAGAGGGUGGGCGGCCACAUUGGGACUGAGACACGGCCCAGACUCCUACGGGAGGCAGCAGUGGGGGAUAUUGCACAAUGGGGGGAACCCUGAUGCAGCGACGCCGCGUGGGCGAUGGAGUGCUUCGGCAUGUAAAGCCCUAUCAGCAGGGAAGAAAAUGACGGUACCUGACUAAGAAGCCCCGGCUAAAUACGUGCCAGCAGCCGCGGUAAUACGUAUGGGGCAAGCGUUAUCCGGAUUUACUGGGUGUAAAGGGAGCGUAGGCGGCCUGGCAAGCCUGAUGUGAAAUACCGGGGCCCAACCCCGGGGCUGCAUUGGGAACUGCCAGGCUGGAGUGCCGGAGAGGCAGGCGGAAUUCCUAGUGUAGCGGUGAAAUGCGUAGAUAUUAGGAGGAACACCAGUGGCGAAGGCGGCCUGCUGGACGGUGAC